AUGAACGCUGGCGGCGUGCCUCAUACAUGCAAGUCGAGCGAACAGACGAGGAGCUUGCUCCUCUGACGUUAGCGGCGGACGGGUGAGUAACACGUGGAUAACCUACCUAUAAGACUGGGAUAACUUCGGGAAACCGGAGCUAAUACCGGAUAAUAUAUUGAACCGCAUGGUUCAAUAGUGAAAGACGGUUUUGCUGUCACUUAUAGAUGGAUCCGCGCCGCAUUAGCUAGUUGGUAAGGUAACGGCUUACCAAGGCAACGAUGCGUAGCCGACCUGAGAGGGUGAUCGGCCACACUGGAACUGAGACACGGUCCAGACUCCUACGGGAGGCAGCAGUAGGGAAUCUUCCGCAAUGGGCGAAAGCCUGACGGAGCAACGCCGCGUGAGUGAUGAAGGUCUUCGGAUCGUAAAACUCUGUUAUUAGGGAAGAACAAAUGUGUAAGUAACUAUGCACGUCUUGACGGUACCUAAUCAGAAAGCCACGGCUAACUCCG
rnacentral:rRNA from 1 species